rnacentral:rRNA from 1 species
CCUACGGGAGGCAGCAGUGGGGAAUUUUGGACAAUGGGCGCAAGCCUGAUCCAGCAAUGCCGCGUGGGUGAAGAAGGCCUUCGGGUUGUAAAGCUCUUUUGUCAGGGAAGAAACGGCUGAGGUUAAUACCUUCGGCUAAUGACGGUACCUGAAGAAUAAGCACCGGCUAACUACGUGCCAGCAGCCGCGGUAAUACGUAGGGUGCAAGCGUUAAUCGGAAUUACUGGGCGUAAAGCGUGCGCAGGCGGUUUUGUAAGUCUGACGUGAAAUCCCCGGGCUCAACCUGGGAAUUGCGUUGGAGACUGCAAGGCUGGAGUCUGGCAGAGGGGGGUAGAAUUCCACGUGUAGCAGUGAAAUGCGUAGAGAUGUGGAGGAACACCGAUGGCGAAGGCAGCCCCCUGGGUCAAGACUGACGCUCAUGCACGAAAGCGUGGGGAGCAAACAGGAUUAGAUACCCUGGUAGUCCACGCCCUAAACGAUGUCUACUAGUUGUCGGGUCUUAAUUGACUUGGUAACGCAGCUAACGCGUGAAGUAGACCGCCUGGGGAUACGGUCGCAAGAUUAAAACUCAAAUGAAUUGACGG